rnacentral:sRNA from 1 species
CAGAAAGUUGGACCUGUUUCGAAUGGCCAAAGCGUCUUCAUUAGGGAAGAAGAGAGGCAAU